rnacentral:snRNA from 1 species
GAAGAAUCCUUUCGAAGGGU